CAACUGUACAAAAUAACUUUAUUUUUUACUUUUGCAAAUUUCAAACCAAGUGGAAGAAAAUACAACGAAUGAAAGCACCUAACACAACGCAUUAACUGUCGUGUUUAUAGACACUGCGUUAAUGGAACAAUCACUGAUACAAAAGUAAAAAUACUAUUAAUGGAAAUUCUAUUGUUGAAACAAUGGGCUAUAUUUAUAGCCUAUAGGUAGAAUACAAGACACAGGACGCAAGACAAAUGGAAGACACAUAUUAUUAGACAUGCGACAAACAGAAUUAAUGAUAUCUUCAUUGAAAUAAACAAAUCUUGACCAAAUUAAGUAAUAUCUCCCCUUCAGUAUUCCUUACAUCAUCACUGAAAUUUACGAAUUUACGAAUAUAGUUUGUAAACAUUUUACACCUAUGUAGGUCCAAAUAAAAUGAGUCUAAUAAACUCUGUUAAACAAGCCACAAAUUCAUUUCAAAAGGGGUAAAUGACUCUGCCAAAUUUUUCAAUGCUCUGUCACUGUUAAAAUAAACGGUCUUAGGAUUUAAAUUAAAAAGGGAUUGUUUGAGGGUGUGAUUGGUUCAGACAUGUAGAAGUUUUAAAAAAAAAUAUAUUUGAACGGAGUCAUUUUUUUUUUCAAUUUUCAAAGGAACUGCCAGGGACGGCUUUGGAUAAUAGGAGGCUCUAGGUGCAGUGAUUUUGGUUGCCCUAAAUAAAAUUUACAAAAACUAAAAAGAAGUAUCGAUAAACUAAAAUGACACAAUUUAUUAUAAACCUGCCUGUGUCUAAGUGGACAAAUAAUUGAAAUUAUCUAUCGCAAUUUCAGUAGUAGAUACAGUCUUAGACUUGUAAAUCUAGAGUCAGUGUUCUACUAUGAGAUCUGAUCCAAGUUUCGCAAUUUUUUCUCUACAUUUUUUAAAGUCUAUAUGUCUAUGUGCGAGGCCCCCCCCCCCCCCC